rnacentral:lncRNA from 1 species
GCCAAUUCUAGCAAGAAAGUUUUUCCAUUCAUCUGCAGUAUAUUAUGAAAACUAUCCAUUAAUGGAUGACAUUUAAAAAUUAUACACAAGAAUGCAUAAAGAAUAACUCAGUAAUCAAUAAUGGAUUCUAGAUUAGAGCGCUGACCCCAGAAAUGGGGAUAGUAGGAUGAUUGCUAGUUUUUUAAUCAAUGUGACACAUACUGAAAGUAACUACAACAAUUCGUAGCUGCACUUAACUAGUUUUAGUAAUAGAGAGCCCAUGAGUUGGGACAGCUUAAUUGGGUAGAGUUUCAAAAACUUGUAAACACGCUAGAGAAAAAAGAAUCUCUAUUAAAGUGUGAUGUGAGCCAUACCUACUCAAAACUGACUUAAGCAACUUAAAUGCUCUAAGAGCUCAUAAUAAUUGCUGAAAUCAGGCAAAUCCAAUCACUGUUAGUUUGCAAGAUCUCAAUAUUGAGACCCUAAAUGAUCUAACCUUUGUAACCUAUGUAGACAGUCUAAUCACAAUGGACCUUUUAUGAGUUUUGAUGAUAACAAAUACUAAGUUUGAAAAACUUGUACAAACAUGACUUUAUUAUUUGAAUAUCAAUACUUUCUUUAUCAAAAACACAAAUGAAUAUGCAUAUCAAGAUUUUGUUUAUCAAGCUUCUAAUCAAGUGCUUGUCAAAGAACACAAAAUUUUUUAUGCUGAUGACAAAGAUCAAGUAGAGAUAAAAUAUAAAAUAAUGAAAUGCUGCAACAGUCAUAUGACGAGAACAACAUAAAGGAGUAGAGCUAAAGGACACAACUACAAUUUCCAGUUCUUUCCAGUGCUACAAUAGUGUUAAAUAUUCUGUGGGUGUCCAAAACCAUUGUAAAUUUUUAUAGCAUGAACUAAACUGAAAGACCCAAACCUGUUCUCUACUUGAGUGAAAUCUGAUGCAAACAGACUAUAUGCACUUAAUCGGUCAGGGAUGAUCACANCUUAUUUCCCUCUCUCCUUCUUCAUACUUCUUCAAUUCACCGCCGCCUUUGCAUCUUCUUCCCACCUAAUUCUUGAAAUCUAAUUUAGAAGAAGAGAAGAGAUAUGUGAUUGUGGAGAAAGAAGAAGAAAAAAAAAAGAAACCCUAAAAAAAGAGUACCAAGAGAGAUGGAGAGAGAUGGGAACCUCCCAGACGCAAAGGAAGCAUUCCAUAGCAUUGUCUUUGAAGAUGAUGGUGUUUACUUCUCUUCCGUAGCAUUGUCUUUGUAGUUGCUGUUUUACACCAUGCAACAACAUACUUACAAAAACACCACUGGCUAAUUGAAUAAGAAAUAGAAUUCAUGGUUUGGUGGUAUGAUCGUAAAUCUGAUGGGAAAUUUAAGAGGGCAUUAGUCAGCAAACAUGUAGAAGAACUUGUUAGUGACACUUUAUUUAAAUGUAUAAGAUUUAAUAGUUUGUAGCAUAGGAGAAGUUUAGCUUAAUGAUUUCCUUUAUUGCCUGUUGAUGUUAGACAAUGUGCAUAUGGCAAUCAAUGUCAUAAAGGCAAUUUAAUUUGCACAGUCCAACAAUUUAAAUCACUUUCCUAACUCUUAAAAUCCUCCCAAUAUUGGAGGGAAGACAAAAGUAACAAGCAGGAAAAUUAGUUUGCUUAUCAUCCCCAAAUUUUUAAACCAAAUUAGGAUAAAACAAUUCCCUCCCUCCUCUCUGUUCCCUCCAACCAAACACACUAAGCAACAAACAUCAGCUUAUAUGUACUAGAAAUAUUCCAAUAGAAAGUUGAAAACUACAAGCAACUGAAUAAAAUAUUAGGGACCAGAACAUGACAUCCUCAAAUCCUGAAUAAACUUGAAGAGCGGAAAACAGAACCUACGAUUCCAUGCUCCGUGGAAAAACUUAAAGGAAAACAUCAACAC